rnacentral:rRNA from 1 species
UACGUAGGGUGCAAGCGUUGUCCGGAAUUAUUGGGCGUAAAGAGCUCGUAGGCGGUUUGUCGCGUCUGCUGUGAAAACCUAGGGCUUAACCCUGGGCCUGCAGUGGGUACGGGCAGACUAGAGUGCGGUAGGGGAGACUGGAAUUCCUGGUGUAGCGGUGAAAUGCGCAGAUAUCGGGAAGAACACCCGUGGCGAAGGCGGCUCUCUGGGACGGUACUGGACGCUGAGACGCGAAAGCGUGGGGAGCGAACAGG